GAAAAUGAAGUCCCUGAAGCUGCUAACUUUGGGUUUUGCAUAAUUUGUAACAUUUUCU
rnacentral:tRNA from 1 species